CUGACGGGCAGAGCCAGGCCCGGGGGGUUGGGGGGGGUGUCUCGAGGCGCCCUCCUGCCGCGGCCUGGGCGAACCUGAACGCCCCAGGCGGCCUCGGCCUCGGCAGAGGCUGACCAUUGCCCGGCCGCACCAUCCCAGACCGCAGGAGCCCCGUCUCCAGCCGCGCCUCCUGGGGACGCGCUGACUCCCGGCGGUGCUCUAGGGCCGCUCAGGGUUCGAAAACAGAACGCGAGGAGACGAAAGCACUCGCGGGAACCCGCUUAGACGCCGGAGAAGGGGUGAAUGGAGUGGGCGAGUAGGGUGGCGGAAGGGGGACCGUUUCCCUCCCUCACACAGGCCUGCUCCCAUCCAGACUUUGCAGCAAGACCGACCCGAACGCGCUCGCCCCCAUAGGCCAGAGCCCGCGGGCGUGUUCGGGCACUUGCGCGACUGGGCCUGGGAUGCGUGGACCUCUGUGCUCCUGCCCUACCGGAAGGCCACAUUACUACAGAAGCCAGAUUGCGGGACCAACGGCGUGUACCCGGGGGCUUAAACAUAGCCCCCUCCCGACUAAAACAGUAGAUUCCCAGGGCGCUUAGGGGGUGCAAAAGUAGUCACCACGCAAUGAAGAAGAAUGAGAGGAGGGCGAGCCCCAGGUCCGAGUGGGACGACAGGAGGGGAACGGAAAGACCCGCCCUGAACUCGCCGAGAGCGCGCGCAGAAGGAAGCGAGCGAGGGACCACGGGAGAGAAGGCGCGUAGGACCUAAGGUGCGGAGCCUGUGAUCGCAAGGCCGAGGACGCAGUGAGUCUGCCUCUUCGAGAACUCUCCCCGAAGAUCCUCUGAGGAGGAAAAACAAAGCAGGGUGUGCAUGAAUGACACAGGAGAUCUAUCUGGCAAUGACAGUGUCACCACCUCCUCUGACAUUUAUAGCCCCACUGGCUCCUCACUCCCCAGACACCCCAGAGGCCAAGAGUUGAUGUGCAGACCUGGGUCAAGCCUGGGGGCAGCGAGGGGCCAGUAUUCUAGCUCUACCUCCCCCGGUCCUCCUCCUCCUGCCUGGAGCUUGCCUGAACUGAGCUCUCCCUCCUCACCCCUCUUUCUGCCCCAACACCCCUCUACCGCUACUGUUCCUUCGUGCCCUGAGGGGGCCUGGAAAGACCUGCCAACUCCCUGCGGACCAGUAUGGCCUUGACACAUCCCAGCUCCUGUCUUCUCACACAGCUUCUGGAAAGGCACAUCCUUUCCAGACCCUCAACUACCAGAAACACACCCUGCCACCUGAAUGGCCCAGCCCCCACAUACCUUUGAACUUCUUGAGCAGCCCCUUUAAGACAAAGGUCUUGAGGGAAACAUUCCAGACUUUAUUCUUCAUCUCAGAAGAGACUGUGGUUGGCUUGGGGCCAGGCACAUUGCUGCACCUGCAGGACAAAGACCUUGAGGAAGGCCCACAAACACUGUCACACUCCCACCUGUGACAAUUAGGAUGGUGAGGUCCUCUUGGUGGAGAGAAGUGGAAAAAGGAGGGGCUGACCUUUUGCUGGAAUACCCACAGCCAGAAUUUUCACUGGAGCCAUACGCUAGGACCCACUGAUGCCUCUGCUCUUGACACCACUCAAGACAAGUCACAGCCCUUAAGCAACGACUGGUCGCUCAGACCAGUGUCUUUCCAAUGGCUGUUCUUGAUCCAUUUGUGACUUGUGAAGUUUAUUUACUGGAUUGUGACUAUUUUAAAAGGAAAUAAAAUAGAAUAGCAAACAUAAAAGUGCAUCACAUAUAGUAAAGGCAAGUGUUAUUUUCCGAGACUUUUGUCUCAGGUGUGUAUAUGCUGGAAUACAAUGUAAGGUAUAUUGUUGUGGCUCAUGGUCAAGAAAGUUUUAUCACAUCCCUUUCAACCUCUUCGGCCCCAGAUAGUGUGAUUCUGCUACACUCACAGGAUCUGACUGUGUUCUCACUGCCGUUCACGGCGCCGCAGGAUAAAAG